rnacentral:lncRNA from 1 species
AGUCAUAUGUGGCCUUGUGGCUGCAGAAGUGGACAGAACAGCUCUUUAACGUCCAAUGCAUUCAUAGGCUGUUAAGAGGAUGUCAUUCUCCUUCUCCUUCCAGGAAAAUCAAGAUAACUGCUUUUCCUUUAUUUUAUUGGAUUCAAGCAACCAUGUGAAAAGAUAUGUAAUCACCAAGUAAAUAUUGACCAGGACAUGACUGAAAAGAGCAAGGGGUUAGCAGAUGCCAAUUUUAUGGAGAAUUUCUUCCAUAUCAUCUAACAUUAUCUUGGUGUUGCCUGCUCUGCAUUCUGCAUCCAGCAGGUGAGUAGUGUGACCAAAUGUCUCACCAGUGUAUUUUCUUUUUCUCUUUCCUUUUACAGCUGCACCUGUGA